UACGUAGGGGGCAAGCGUUGUCCGGAAUCAUUGGGCGUAAAGAGCGUGUAGGCGGCCUGAUAAGUCGGUUGUGAAAGUCAAGGGCUCAACCCUUGAAUGCCGACCGAUACUGUCAGGCUAGAGUCCGGAAGAGGCGAGUGGAAUUCCUGGUGUAGCGGUGGAAUGCGCAGAUAUCAGGAGGAACACCGAUGGCGAAGGCAGCUCGCUGGGACGGUACUGACGCUGAGGCGCGAAAGCGUGGGGAGCGAACAGG
rnacentral:rRNA from 1 species